GUGUGACAUCAGUUCUAUUAGGUUUCCACUAUAUACUGCUAGGUGUCACUGAUAGAUUGUGAGAGCUCACUAAGAUUGUUCAGGAUUGACAAUCUUUGAUGAGUUAGAGUGAAAUUAUUCUGACCCAUUGAAAAGAGUUUCAAUGAUACUUUAAUAGAGAUUAUUAUAUAUCUCACUAUCAGAUAGAAUUGAACCUAUGGCAUCACACAACAAAGGGAUU
rnacentral:lncRNA from 1 species